rnacentral:rRNA from 1 species
CUCGUAGGUGGCCAACUAAGUCAGACGUGAAGUCCCUCGGCUUAACCGGGGAACUGCGUCUGAUACUGGAUGGCUUGAGUUUGGGAGAGGGAUGCGGAAUUCCAGGUGUAGCGGUGAAAUGCGUAGAUAUCUGGAGGAACACCGGUGGCGAAGGCGGCAUCCUGGACCAACACUGACACUGAGGAGCGAAAGCCAGGGAGCAAACG